GGAAAGGAAGAGGAAGAUGGGUACAUAGAAAGACCUGCAGGGCCACUAGAACACCUUCUCCUGGGCCUAGGAGGAGAGCUUGCCUAAAUUCCCCUGAAUCCCCUUCAUGAAAAAGGUCAGUCUUCCUGGGCGAAGACCACAGAAGUCCACAAGAGGCUGCCUCCUGGGACAUUAUGGAAACAGGGGCUGUGGGCAGGCAGACUAGAGAGGCAUUUCAGCAAUGGUUUGACCUGGAUAGAGGACUUCAUCAACAAGGUUCUUUCAUCUUCCUUUGUUGUUUGGAUCCUUAAGCCUGGCUUGAAAGAAGAGGGAGAAGUCUUCAGGGGAAAUGCUCCCUGCGCUGACCCACAGGAUGGCUUCCUUCAACAAAUGCAGCCACCUUUGAUUAGCUGCCUGCUACAAGA